CGCUGGCGGCGUGCCUAACACAUGCAAGUCGAGCGGCAGCGCGGGAGCAAUCCUGGCGGCGAGCGGCGGACGGGUGAGCAAUGCUUGGGAAUCUGCCCAUCAGUGGGGGACAACCCGGGGAAACUCGGGCUAAUACCGCAUACGUUCUUUGGAAGAAAGCAGGGGAUCGCAAGACCUUGCGCUGAUGGAUGAGCCCAAGUCGGAUUAGCUAGUUGGUGAGGUAAUGGCUCACCAAGGCGACGAUCCGUAGCUGGUCUGAGAGGACGACCAGCCACACCGGAACUGAGACACGGUCCGGACUCCUACGGGAGGCAGCAGUGGGGAAUAUUGGACAAUGGGCGAAAGCCUGAUCCAGCGACGCCGCGUGGGUGAAGAAGGCCUGCGGGUUGUAAAGCCCUUUCGUUGGGGAAGAACAGUGUCGACCUAACACGUCGGCACCUUGACGUUACCCAAAGAAGAAGCACCGGCUAACUCUGUGCCAGCAGCCGCGGUAAUACAGAGGGUGCGAGCGUUAAUCGGAAUUACUGGGCGUAAAGCGCACGUAGAUGGCUUCGUAAGUCGGAUGUGAAAUCCCCGGGCUUAACCUGGGAACGGCAUUCGAAACUGCGUUGCUCGAAUGUGGAAGAGGGAAGCGGAAUUCCAGGUGUAGCGGUGAAAUGCGUAGAUAUCUGGAGGAACAUCAGUGGCGAAAGCGGCUUCCUGGUCCAACAUUGACAUUCAGGUGCGAAAGCGUGGGGAGCAAACAGGAUUAGAUACCCUGGUAGUCCACGCCAUAAACGAUGCGAACUAGAUGUCGAGAGGGUCAGCCUCCCGGUGUCGCAGCUAACGCGGUAAGUUCGCCGCCU
rnacentral:rRNA from 1 species